UAUCCUUCUAAGAUAUAUUUCUAAGGAACAGAUUAAGCUUAAUGACUUAGUGGUAUAUUUUUCUGCUGUGCUGGGUCCUGGUUUCCCGAGGUUCCAGGUUCUACCUCAUUGGUCCCUUGAAGUUCGAUCGACUCAAUUGCAAAUCGGUACUUCAUAUUGGAGAGUAAGCCCGAGCCUAAAAGACUUAGAUGCAAAUAAUACCAUCACUUACGCCAUGAUCGCACCUGUUGUUAUUUGGACCUACCUUUUUUCUUUGCUUCUUUCUUUUAAGCACAAGGUAAGCAGCAUUUCGGUAUCAACCUUAGCUAAAGGAACUAUUGAAUGUUCGGAUCGAAAAUGCUGUUUAAAUCAUAGAUAUGCUUGGUCUAUUGAUGCCUUUAUUUAUGCAUUACGCAAUCGUUUUUCAUAGAUUUUCCCUCAUGUCGAGUUUUGUAGGCACGGAUGCAUGCUUUUGCCUUGAGUUGCAUGAAGAGUUGGUUAUGUCGUAUGAUAUAGAUUAUCGAGUCAUGUUACACGACCGAUAUCAUCAUUGAAUGUUAGUUGAUGUCAGAAAAGCAUAUCUACUGGAAUAGAAGUUGUAGUGGUCUCAUAUACAUGGACAUUUUAACGAUAUAAUCACUGAAAAGGACCUUAAUGGUACAGGAUGUUUAAAGCUUUCAUUCAUUGAUCCAGAUUCUUGCCUUGUUGUUGAUGAAUCUGUCAUCGAACUUUCUAAUGCGGUGUCUCUGUUCACUAUCUUACUGCGGUGGAAGUUCUUUCUUUGGGUCCCCUCUCUUUGUGAAGUCAAAAAUGAUCACCCAUUAAGUGUCGUUCGUUGAUCAGGGUUCGAAUGGCAUGCAACGAAGCGCAAUCCUCUUUAAGCUCGAAACAAGCAGUAGUCGCAUAUCAGCUUCCGAGACAUCCAAACUCCUUUGUUCAUGAAUUUUAGCUGAGUUUCCAUGUUCAAGUUACACAUACUUGCAACUUCUGAGGUUUACUGCUCUGCUCGAAUUAAUGAAUCUGGGUGUGCCCGUUGACUUCAUGGUCAUGGAUUUGCUGUUGCUCUUCUGUGCAAUCGCCUUCCUCAUCGGUAUGUACUAAGUACUAUGCAGAUAGAAAUGCUACAUGUACUAAAUCUUACGGACUCAGUUUGUUCAGUGUAUUAAUACGACUUGGUGCACUAAAAUGAUGUGGGAAUGCUUGUGGCAUUGUUCUUUUUCCUGUCUAUGCACAUGGUAUAUGCAGAUGCGGUAGUUUUGAGAUAUUUUAGCAUCCGAUGAAUUGAAAAUCAUGUUUGACUGUUUAUUUCAAACUCACUUUGUAACUGAGCUCACCGUGAUUUUAGCUGAAUCAACGGACCCACAUCGCUGUGUCUCGUACAGACAAUCUCAACUCAAGAGUCGUUGUUUACUUCCAUUUCAAGAUGGUGUCAAGGACAUGUUGAAUAUGGACACUAGCCUUUGACUUAUUCUCUCUCUCUCUCUCUCUUUUUAUCUCUCUUUUUACGAAGAGAUAAGAGGAUACGAAGACGCCCAGGAAAGAUCUGGAACUGCUACUGUGUUCGGAUCAGCGUCUCCUGUUGCAGCGAUGAGUCGAAAAGAAAAUUUGCAUCUCCGAAACAUCUGUUAAGAUCCAUUUUU